rnacentral:snoRNA from 1 species
UGAUGAUCGCACUGGGCUCUGAUCAGUUAUCUAAAACUGUUUAUUGAUGGACAAUGCAGCCUAGAAAGCUAUAUCUGAUC